CCUACGGGCGGCAGCAGUGGGGAAUAUUGGACAAUGGGGGGAACCCUGAUCCAGCGACGCCGCGUGAGUGAAGAAGUAUUUCGGUAUGUAAAGCUCUAUCAGCAGGGAAGAAAGAAAUGACGGUACCUGACUAAGAAGCCCCGGCUAACUACGUGCCAGCAGCCGCGGUAAUACGUAGGGGGCAAGCGUUAUCAGGAUUUACUGGGUGUAAAGGGAGCGUAGACGGCGAUGCAAGUCUGAAGUGAAAGGCGGGGGCUCAACCCCCGGACUGCUUUGGAAACUGUAUGGCUGGAGUGCAGGAGAGGUAAGUGGAAUUCCUAGUGUAGCGGUGAAAUGCGUAGAUAUUAGGAGGAACACCAGUGGCGAAGGCGGCUUACUGGACUGUAACUGACGUUGAGGCUCGAAAGCGUGGGGAGCAAACAGGAUUAGAUACCCGAGUAGUC
rnacentral:rRNA from 1 species